CAGGAGUGUUCUGCUAUUAGGGGAAAGCCUGAUUGAUUCUGGGCUUAUUCCGACUAGUCCAGCUAAAUAUUGUGCGGCAACAUCGUUUGGAUUGCUGAUGGCAUUUCGAAGCAACGAUAUCAUUCUUGUGGACCCAUCUGGUCCGCUUUCAUCUGACUCCAGGCUGUUUAUUGAUGAACCAAAUAUUCCGGCUGGUCGUCUAUUAAAUAUGAUCUGCUUUAGAAUAGUAUUAUAUAGUGACGAGCUCGGUCUCUUACCGAACAGUUUCAAUAAGAGGGACGGGUGUGUCCCACGAGAUCUUAAUAAUCUGCCGAGCACAGUUUUUGAUGCAGAAGUACUCUUUAAGAGGGGGUACAAUGGAUUGCUUGGGUCGCUUAACAGUGAAGGCAGUCGUCCUUCGUGCAGUACAAUAUCGUUUUUGUGCACAAGCUGUCCGUCAGGUGUUACUGUGUAUUGGCGAGGGUGUGCAAAAAAGUCCGAAAUUGAGAA
rnacentral:lncRNA from 1 species